CUGAAGUCUCUCAGCCUUACUCACCUCACAGAGUGUUUGUUGUGGGGGAGGAAGGGAAAGGAGAAUGUUAGCCGCUUUGAGACUCCUUAAAGGGAGUGAAAGGCGGGAUAUCAAAUCCAAACUCUUCUUCUUCUUUCCCUUCCUGCCCCACAAUAAACACUCUGUAAGGUGAGUGAGGCUGAGAGAUUUCAG